AACUUACAAGACACUUCAUAACUAUAACAUUACAGAAAGAAUAGUUCCCAGAUAUCCCCUGCGUACAUCUCAAACCACACUGUUACAAUUUCUCCCCAUUGUGGACACUCCUAUGUCUGAUAAGGUUACUUAGGAAGGAGAAGCCCUCCUUAGUCAUUGAGCUUCCUCCUGGACCUCUAGACAUUGUUUGGGUGUUGUUGGGAUUGUGUGUGGUGUUAUAGGCUAGGUGCCUCUCAUGGUGAAUGCCCAUCCGGACCCUGUCUGUGUUGGUGAGGUAACCCUGAGGUAACUGAGCAAGGCCACAUCCAGGCCCAGAUCUUCUAUGAACCCAGUCACCAGGAAUUAGACGUGACGCCGAAGGAGACGACAGACUUGCUGCUAGACUACCAACGGAGGGGUCUCCCACCACUAUCUGUGAAGGCUGAAGCCCAGGGUGACCUGCUCUGUUAAUCAUUGAUUCAAUCCCAGUGGCUGUAGUUUCCUCCGUAAUGUCCUGUUUUCUUUCUGGCUAUGAGUUAUUUCCAACCGAAACACUGCAUAGUCGUCGUUAACGAGUUUACAGAUGUCUGCCACGGCUGCAUUCGCUAGCUCCACCAUGAUGGACGCUAUUUGAGUGUGAAAAACCAUACAGUUAGCCAUUGUUAGCAGCUAGCUAGCGUUACUUAGAUAACAUCUAUCAACCAAGUCCUGUCUUCAACGUGAAUUAAACACUGACAGGCGCACCUUUCUGAGAACCGCUUCCUGCAGUUCAUACAGGCGAACGGCAUCUCUUCCGUGUGGACCUUCAGCUGUCUCUUUAGAUGGUGCUGUUUGGAGAAUCUCUUCCCACACUGGGGGCAGCUGUAGGAUUCUUCCAGUGUGGACCCUCUGGUGCCUCUUCAGGUUGGACAGGGAAAGGCCUGCCUUCUCAAAGACCUCUCAAUCGCGGUUGACAACUGUGGUGUCCCCUUUCCAGAGUGCAAAGAACCAGGGGAUCAGCUUCUUCUCAGCCCAGUCAAUGCUCUUCUCUGGCCUGGCAGCCUAAUGGUGGAAAGAGCUUCCCCCUGCAGCUAGGACAGCAGAGUCCCUUGCCCAUCUUCCGAAAACAUAUUUCUUAAACCUAUGGAUCCGGAUCACGUUCUGCACAUUUUACCCAUCCUCUUCUGAACCAUUACGUCUGUGCCUCAUAUUUCUGGACAGCCGAAAUAAAAACCCUGCUGCGAUUUGAACAAACAUUUCAAGGGCAUUAUGAAAGCUACAACCUUUUCUGUCUGUAUUGCAGUUGCUCAAGCAGGACGCAGUCCCUACAAUGUAUUGGAGCAAAGCAUGAAAAAGAACGCUAAUACUUUGACUGCCUGUCUGCCUCCUUCUUAGCCAAUGUUUGUAAUGAUGAUUAAAAAGAUUAGCGAUUUAGACUGCA